AUUGAACGCUGGCGGCAUGCCUUACACAUGCAAGUCGAACGGCAGCACGGGAGCAAUCCUGGUGGCGAGUGGCGAACGGGUGAGUAAUAUAUCGGAACGUGCCCAGUCGAGGGGGAUAACGUAGCGAAAGCUACGCUAAUACCGCAUACGAUCCAUGGAUGAAAGCGGGGGAGCGCAAGACCUCGCGCGAUUGGAGCGGCCGAUAGCAGAGUAGGUGGUUGGUGAGGUAAAGGCUCACCAAGCCGACGGUCUGGAGCUGGUCUGAGAGGACGACCAGCCACACUGGGACUGAGACACGGCCCAGACUCCUACGGGAGGCAGCAGUGGGGAAUUUUGGUCAAUGGGCGCAAGCCUGAUCCAGCAAUGCCGCGUGCAGGAUGAAGGCCUUCGGGUUGUAAACUGCUUUUGUACGGAACGAAACGUUGAGCUCUAAUACAGUUUGCUAAUGACGGUACCGUAAGAAUAAGCACCGGCUAACUACGUGCCAGCCGCCGCCGUAACAC
rnacentral:rRNA from 1 species